rnacentral:rRNA from 1 species
AUGCAGUCGAGCGGAUGAKGGAGCUUGCUCCMKGAUUCAGCGGCGGACGGGUGAGUAAUGCCUAGGAAUCUGCCUGRUAGUGGGGGACAACGUUUCGAAAGGAACGCUAAUACCGCAUACGUCCUACGGGAGAAAGCAGGGGACCUUCGGGCCUUGCGCUAUCAGAUGAGCCUAGGUCGGAUUAGCUGGUUGGUGAGGUAAUGGCUCACCAAGGCGACGAUCCGUAACUGGUCUGAGAGGAUGAUCAGUCACACUGGAACUGAGACACGGUCCAGACUCCUACGGGAGGCAGCAGUGGGGAAUAUUGGACAAUGGGCGAAAGCCUGAUCCAGCCAUGCCGCGUGUGUGAAGAAGGUCUUCGGAUUGUAAAGCACUUUAAGUUGGGAGGAAGGGCAGUAAGCUAAUACCUUGCUGUCUUGACGUUACCGACAGAAUAAGCACCGGCUAACUUCGUGCCAGCAGCCGMGGUAAASA